GCAAGUCGAACGAGAAAGCACCUUCGGGUGUGAUUAUAGUGGCGCACGGGUGCGUAACACGUGGGAACUUACACAUUGGUAAGGAAUAACUAUUAGAAAUGAUGGCUAAUACCUUAUGGUCCCUUCGGGGUAAAGAUUUAUCGCCAAUGAAUAGGCCCGCGGCAGAUUAGCUUGUUGGUGAGGUAAAGGCUCACCAAGGCAAUGAUCUGUAGCUGGUCUGAGAGGAUGAUC
rnacentral:rRNA from 1 species